AGUGAUUAUAUAAUUGGCAGCACCUUGCUGCGUGUCACUCCUCACCACUGCAGACACACUCGGCCUCUAGCUGUUAACACCUUGCACAUGCUCCAUCAUAGAAAACAAAUAUUUAGUUUCAACAUGCUUGAAGCACAAUACCCAACUUUGCUUUUAUUUGUUACCACAUUAUUGAUGGUGACCUGUCGUAGCACUGAACGUGUGGCUGAACAAGUUUGGUCUCACUGGAGCAAGUCUCCUUCAAGUGUGGAUGGGUCAGACGGUGACAGAUGUGCUUAAAAUCAGCUGAAAGAGACUCAAAGACUCCAUCUGCUGCAGUCCAUCUUCAGAUGAUGGUGUUGAUACUGUUCCAGGGAGAUGACAAACUUUAAGGACCCUAUUUCACGCGUCACUUGCCAGUUUAUUAGGGCGUCAUUGGAGAAGAGAGCUUGCUGUCAAUGGCCCUCCCUGAAUAAAUAAGAUGUCAGAAAUUACCUUUGUGUUUGCUCCGGUGGCCUGAUCUUUUUCAAUGUGAAAGCAGACGUGGAACUGCAUCCCAACUCUGAAUCGAUUUCAUUACUACUUGACAGGGAGAACCUGAAGGACAAUCAAUUCCUGCCACUUGAGGCUGCCUGCUUGCUGUUGUCGGGGCUGCUGUACGGAUCCUCCUUUUGGACCCAUCCUCUACAUUAACAACCAUUCAUCAUUCUGUGACAGCAUGUUCCAUGGAGCCAGUGUCUAACAUUUUAGUUUUUGAUAACUGGCCUUACCUUUUUGUGAACUACUAUUACAGACUUAAACCUAAGAGUUUUUCUUCAUCACACUGUUGGGCUAUAAAUAACACUGCAUCCUCCAGCAAACCAGCUUUUAUAUCCAGUUUCCUUGGAGAUGUGAUCUCAGUGGGGGUAGCUCAAGGAUUAAUAAAGAGUAUUACUUUUUGUAUCCAUUUAGCUCCAACUUUAAUAUUUGCUAUAUUGACUGACCUAUUACAUGCAAAGGAAUGCAAUUGAUUUUAGCUUUUUUUUUUUGGUUUCAUUUUUAUUGAAAUGAUGUGAAACGGUCAAUUCUUGUUUGAACUUCUUCACAGAACUCUAUUUUUAUCUGCAGUGCUCUAGCAUUUUUGUUGCGACCACAGUGUACUUUGCCCUCUACUGUGCUGCCAUGAAUAAAAGGCCCAGGGUCUA